rnacentral:rRNA from 1 species
UCGGGAAUAUUGGGGCAAUGGAGGAAACUCUGACCCAGCAACGCCGCGUGAAGGAUGGAGGUCCUCGGAUUGUAAACUUCUGUCCUAUGGGAAAAAUAAAGUGAUGGUACCAUAGAAGAAAACCCCGGCAAACUACGUGCCAGCAGCCGCGGUGAUACGUAGGGGGUAAGCGUUGUCCGGAAUGACUGGGCGUAAAGGGUGUGUAGGCGGUUUAUUAAGUUGAAUGUGAAAGCCCGGGGCUUAACUCCGGAACUGCAUUCAAAACUGGUAGACUAGAGUGUGGGAGAGGUAAGUGGAAUUCCUAGUGUAGCAGUGAAAUGCGUAGAUAUUAGGAGGAACAUCAGUGGCGAA